AUAUUUUCUCCCCCUGUCCUUCUGUGGAGAGCAGCGUGGUUGUGUUUCUUCUGGUGUGAAACCAUCACAGAUGCAGAGGAUUAUUAUUGCUGUCAAGAAUAUUUUUAAAAAAACAAGACUGACAUUUGGCAGCAGCCCAUGUGGUGAGAACAUUGUUCAGCAGACUUCAUGGAGAAGUCUGCAUGGAGAGACUGAAGGAACUGGGGCUGUUUAAUCUGGGGAAGAGGAGGCUGAGGGGAGACCUUAUUGCUCUCUUCCAGUAUCUGAAAGGUGCUUACAGCGAGAGCGGGAUUGGUCUCUUCUCACUGGUGAUGGGUGACAGGAUGAGUGGAAAUGGCCUUAAAUUGCACCAGGGGGCUGGAAGAUGAUGCACGCUUUUUUCUUUAAAAAUGCAGACUCUGGGUGGAUCUUUUUUUCCAGAAUCUUAUUCUUCAUUUGGGGGCAUAUUCAUGUUCCUUUAUGAUGGAGAAAUGCAACUGAAAGAUGAGACAAAAUUGAUCAGCAAAGGAGCAAUGACCAAAAACUGGAACAUAGGAAGUUCCAUGCAAAUAUGUGGAAGAACUUCUUUACAAUGAGAGUGACAGAGCACUGGAGCAGACUGCCCAGAGAGGUUGUGGAGUCCCCUUCUUUGCAGAUACUCAAGACCUGCCUGGAUGGCUAACUGUGCGACCUAUUGAAGACAACAUGCUUAGCAGGGGGUUGGACACGGUGAACUCUUGAUGUCCCUUCCAACAUCUGCAAUUCUGUGAUUAGCAAUAAAAUGUUUAUCUGAAGUAAGGAACAAACAGGUUAAGAUUUUCCAUCUGUACAAAUAUAGACUGUAUAAUGAGCUUUCCAAAUGGUCACUGUGUUAUAAAAUAGCAGAGAUAAAAAGCCUGUGCCCUGGACUUCAGCUGCACUGUUUUAGCUAAGCCUGGCCAGAUACACUGAGAUACACCACAGAUUCACUGUCAAAUUUCCACUAUUUGAGAAUCAUUUGUGUGAAAAUAGAAUGGAUAGAAUAUACAUUUGAAGAACUGAGGCACAUAUUUUUAUGCUGUUCUGUUUAGUAGCAUCCACAGUUACAGACUACAAGCAUCACAAAACCAAAGAAAAAAAAAGAAGGUAUUCUCUCCAAAUUUCAUGAUCCUUACAGAUGAAUGUGAGUUUCCUCAAAGAUAUCUUCCAAACAGCAUUUGAUUGCACUGAAUUGCUUCAAGGAUGCAAUAAACUUUUACAUGAGAGGAAAAUAUAGUGCUAAUUUUUACAAAGUGUAUAUCAUUGUUCUGGGAUGUUUUUCAGCUCUCUAUGAAGUAAAAUUUUCAAGCAAAAAGCUCUGCAGCAUGCCAAGAGAAUAGUGAUCUGGUAAAAAAGUUCUGAAACAUAUGGAAGUGUUAUACAGAAAUGCACGCAAAUAGACAUGGUAGUGCCC
ensembl:lncRNA